rnacentral:rRNA from 1 species
GAUGAACGCUGGCGGCGUGCCUAAUACAUGCAAGUCGAGCGAACGGACGAGAAGCUUGCUUCUCUGAUGUUAGCGGCGGACGGGUGAGUAACACGUGGAUAACCUACUUAUAAGACUGGGAUAACUUCGGGAAACCGGAGCUAAUACCGGAUAAUAUUUUGAACCGCAUGGUUCAAAAGUGAUAGACGGUCUUGCUGUCACUUAUAGAUGGUUCCGCGCUGCAUUAGCUAGUUGGUAAGGUAACGGCUUACCAAGGCAACGAUGCAUAGCCGACCUGAGAGGGUGAUCGGCCACACUGGAACUGAGACACGGUCCAGACUCCUACGGGAGGCAGCAGUAGGGAAUCUUCCGCAAUGGGCGAAAGCCUGACGGAGCAACGCCGCGUGGGUGAUGAAGGUCUUCGGAUCGUAAAGCUCUGUUAUUAGGGAAGAACAUAUGUGUAAGUAACUGUGCACAUCUUGACGGUACCUAAUCAGAAAGCCACGGCUAACUACGUG